rnacentral:lncRNA from 1 species
UUUAAUCUGUAACAUAAUUUCCCAAAUUCAAAGAUAUCAAAAAAAGCUUGUUCAAAUAAUGUAUACUCAAAUUGUUUAAAUAAAAUGAACAAAAUCUGAUACAAGCAUGUCAGAACAUGAAAAAGUCAUUCCAUGUCUUCAAAUCCCCCAAAACAAAAAACAAAUUCGCAAACCCCUAUUUUUGUCAUUAUAGGGUUUUUGAAAAAAAAAAAAGAGAAGUGAGAAAAC